rnacentral:lncRNA from 1 species
ACUCUUACCCCACCCUGUCAGUCCUCACAACGAGACUAUCCAUACUCACGGACCUUAAAUUUUACCUCUUACUCCAGAUCUAAUCCAUGCUCUCGAAUCCUUGAUUGUACCUAUUCCAUACUCUCGGAUGAGGGACAAUUAGUCUGUGUCUAAAUCCAUACUCCCAGAUUAAUGACAGAUGACUAUGUCCUGUCCAUACUCCCGGACUAAGGACAACUGACUAUGUCUUAAUCCAUACUCCCAGAUUAAGGACAACUGACUAUGCCUUAAUCCAUACUCCCGGAUUAACGAUAGUUGACUGAGUCCAAUCCAUACUCUCAGACUAGGGACAAAUGACUAUGUGUAAUCCGUGCAUCUGGAUCAAUGACAUGUUUAAGGGUUCUAUUCCCCGUAUAUAUCUCACUUGUACUUAUAAGGAGAUACUACCCAAUGACCAUCAUAACAAAUUUUAGGUUUACUCAUUAACCUAAAUCAUUAUAAAUAAUCGGGUAUGUUCUUUAACAUGUAAUUCAGACAACAUCAAAUAAUUCGCACAUAAACAUAUAUUUAAUACGUUCAAUCAAUACUUGUAUUAAAAUCUUGUUCAUGAAAGGGACUAUGCACUCACUUGAUUAGGUGGUGACUCGGUACUCGGACAGCACUUCGUUACUCUUAAAAUAAUUUUCUUCGACAAAACCUAGUAUCAAUAUCACUAGGGUUUAGUCUAACUUUAACCGCGACUAAUUAAUAGUCUAGCUAUUAUUACUAUUAUAUAAGCAUUAAACAAUACUUAUAUAGCCCAUAAUAAUAGCACAAGUAUUUAUUAUAAGUUUCUAAUAACGUUACUAUAAUUAAAUAAAGGUAUAUUAAAAAUAGCGUAGGCGUAGCUCACUUACAGCGGGUUUUCCUCAAAAUCGAGCGCCGCUGGAGCAGCGUUCCCGAGCCGAAAGGCUCUUCUUCUCAAAGCCGCUGGGCACUCCGGGGCUUCCGUCUCAUGCUAGGGAGGUUCCCUAGGCUUUUCGGGGGGGGGGGGUUUGGGGGCUAGAGAGAAGUUCUAGAAAAAGAGGGAAGUGAGGGGAGGUGUGAGGAAUAAAUGGAGGCCUCACCACUUAUUUAUAGGGGCUGGAGGAAGGUUCCCUUCGUGAAUUUUUAAUAUUCACGUCGUGAGCCAGGCUGGCUACAGCCAGACGCAGCCUGGUGCUGACACGUGGCAUCGCACACAGGGUGGAAAUCAGCCGAUUUUCAAAAAUUCAUAACUGUUGCAUACGAACUCCGUUUUCAACAUUCUUUAUAUCCAUGUGUAGCUAAAAACAAGAUCUACAACUUCCAUUUAGACUCCGUCGGCUAAUUCUCGACCGAUCUUAAAUUUAAAAGUAGGAGGAGUUUAGACUUCUAAAUGACCGCGGAGAAUUCGUAACUCCUUCAUAUGAAAUCCGUUUCCGUCUAUAUGUUGACUGUUGAGUUCCUAUUAAUGAGAUCUUCAGCUCUCAUUUAAGUUUCGUAAGCCAAAAACCACUCGAACUAAAAUUCGAGUUUCGGGUCGUGCACUGCUAAGCCGAAUCUUAGAAAAAUCAUAACUUCUUCAUACGAAGUCAGAUUUGGGUGUUCUUUUUUUGUAUGUUCUCAGUUUAACGUAUACUACAACUUUUGUUUAGAUCACUAAGGCUAAAAAGUCCUAUAUCGUAAAUUCACUAUUUAAGUCUUCCGGUGUCGUGCCGGUUUUGCUGUAAAACUUCGACGAGCCAUAACUUCUUUGUUAUAACUCGGAUUUCGGCGUUCUUUAUAUGUACGGAACCCUUGAGACAUAUUCUACAACUAAGUUAAAAUUAUUUAUUCUAAAUAAUCUUUUGUCAAAAAGUCGUUUUCGACCCCUAUUGUCUUUAAAUUGACUAGCCCGGAUCUACGGGCGUUACAAUUAUCUCCCCCUUAGGAUGAUUACAUCCCAGAAUCAUCAAUGAAACAGGGUUGUAUAAUGACUUCAUACAUUAUCCUUUCAUCCUAGGUAAUAGCUAUAACUCAUAUGUUCCUUUGAAUUAACCCCUCUAACUACAGGCGGUGCUCGAUCUUGCACCUACUCCCUAUUUUACAUUAGACUCCAAUAUAUGACCUUCAAGUCACAAUCUCGAUCCUUACUAGAGACUUUGUCUUCUUCUUAAAGAACUAUUUGAUUUCCAAAAUAGACCGAUGGGUCAUAUUCUAAUGACCUCUCAUCGUAUGUUGCAAUGCUUAGACUCUGGUCUCUUAGAGUCAAUCUUCCAUCUUACGUCAGAUGCUACAUCGAAAUUUGCUCUCUGAACGACAUAACAUACUCAUCGUAGUCGGACCCAAUUUGAUAUGACCACUAGUAUCGGAAUAACAAUCAUCUUCUUAGUCUUUACCGAAACAAUGGUAACGACAUACUUGAAUAAAGCGAAUUCAAUUACUAGCUCAUUGGUAACCUUGUGACUUUCCCUGAUCCAAGUGUGAGUCAUGUGCUUCCGGUAGUAUAUGCCUCUACUACCAUUCACACCUACUCAUACUCGUCCCAAGUAUUGUCCCACAGUUUUUCAAGUCACCAUACAAGAAAUUCACAUAACAACUUAACACAUCAAAUAUGAAAACGAAGGUUUUAUAUUAUUCCUUGAAAUGAUACAUAGGUGUUCAAGCUCACCCUAGACUAUGCCUCUAACAGGCUACAUCACGUGGUACUAUCUACACAACUACUGCAUAACUCGUUCUCUUGAUGUCAAGCCUUCACUCCUUAAUCCUUGCAUUGUCAUCUUCUUCGUCAAGAAUCAUUUGAAAUGCUCUCGCCUUUGGCUUUGGCGGCACAUUUGGCUUCGUAUCCCCUUCCCUCUUUGGGCAAUCUUGUUUGAAGUGUCCCACUUCACCACACAUAAAGCAGACUUCUCUCUUUGUUGUGCAUUCGCUGGCAUAAUGACCAGUCUUCCCGCAUUUAAAGCAGGUCAUCUCUUUAGAGCAUUUCCCGAUGUGCUUCUUUCUUCACUUGUCACACCAUUGAGUUCCUUCUUCGAACUUCUUUGUACCAGACUUCGAAAAAUUUCCCUUCUCGUUGGACCUUGAAGAUCCUUCAAACUUUCUCUUCUCGCCAACCUCCAUCUUACUGGCGACUCUUCCCUUGAUCAUAUCUUCAACAGACUUGGCAGCCCAGAUAGCUACCUCUAGAGUAGGUGUUUGGCGUACUGGCACCGCAUACUCCCAAGGAAGUCCCUUUGCGUACUUGUCAACUUUUGUCAGCUCGUCUGGGACAAGGCGCAAAGCAAACUCCAUUUUGUCCGUGAAGCUGUUGGUGUAUUCAUUGAUGGACAUGCUUUCUUUCUUCAAAGUUAGGAAUUGGUUCUCUAGCUUGAGCAGGUUUUGGGCUGAGCAGUACUUAUGUUUGAAUUGCACCAAAAACUCUGCCCAUGUUAGUUGCAGGGGCUCAUGGGGGCUUAAAGUCUUCCCCAGGGUGUUCUACCAGCGAACAGCGCAUCCUGUGAAUUGGCGUACUACAAACAUGGUUUGUAGCUUGCCCUUGCAACCACAUGUCAUGAAGGCUAAUUCCAUUUCUGAGAUCCAAUCCAUGACUCCGAUCGGAUCUUCCUUCCCAGUGAAAGUCGAUGGCUUGCAAGUUAGAAAAUCUUUGUACUUGCAUCCAUUCCUCUCGAGUCCUAUAUCUUGAUUGUUCUUCCUAAUCACCGGUGGAUCAGCUUGACCAACGGUCCUACUGUCGUUCCCUUCCUCAGACUGCCCAUCAUUCAGCUUGGACUGUUCAAUAGGCAUCAUAAGUUCCUCUCGAGUUUGUUGAAGUAAAUGCCUUAUAUCGUCCAUUUGACGAUCCAACAUCAUCUGGAUCAACGCUUGAACUCCGACCAUCGUGAUUGGCUCAGGAGUGGCUACUACGACAUGUAUUGGCUCAAUCACUGGGGGUUGAUCUCGGUUUCCAUUUGCAUUCACGUUUCCAUUACGGGUCCUUGCCAUCCUGAUCUAUGCACCGAAUAAGGUGAAUCUAGAUCUUUAUUUAGGAUUGAUGUUUAAAUCAUCCUUAUCACUCCAAAACCUUUAUAUGCUAGUUCUAAUAUCGUAGUUAAACGCUUAGAAUCCUAAACACAUAAGGUUUCCAGAUCCGGUCGGCAUUAGACCAUAGAUCCGAACAAAUAACAGCAUAUCAGGCACAAACAUUUAGCACAUAAAAGCAUUUUGGGCAUAAUUCCUAAAAUAAGCUAGUGCUUACACCUCAAAAUCAUCGCUUAGCAUUCUAAGUUUAAGUCUAUAAAUAAAUCCAUAUUCCUAGUUCGCUUAAACUAAUGCUCUAAUACCAACUGUGACAUCCCUAUUUUCACGGCCAGAAAAGACCGAUUUUGUUUAUGCUUUAUAAAAAUCAGAGUACCUCUUUUAAUGAAAAUGUUGCGGAAUUUGUUCCCAAUAAAACAUGAUAAAUAUGUUAUCAAAGCAUUUCCGAAGAAAAGUAUUUUUAUUCAUUUUAAAACAUUUGGGAUGUCAUCGUCAAUACAGAAACAUAAGCAUAAACAGAACUUAAAUUCAUUAUCACUAGUGAUCUACAUCUCUUUUAAAUCUCUCAGUGUAAUGUGAGUUCAUAUCAACACCUGUGAUAUAAAUAAACUGAGUGGGUAAGGUUGGGAAACCUGGUGAGUACAUAGGGAUUUCAAUCCCACAAUGUUAUACAUAUAUAUAUAUAUAUAUNNNNNNNNNNNNNNNNNNNNNNNNNNNNNNNNNNNNNNNNNNNNNNNNNNNNNNNNNNNNNNNNNNNNNNNNNNNNNNNNNNNNNNNNNNNNNNNNNAACAAUAUAUAUAUAUAUAUAUAUUCACACAAUAUAUGAUUUCCCCAUAUAUAUAAUCAACUCUUACCCCACCCCGUCAGUCCUCACAACGAGACUAUCCAUACUCACGGACCUUAAAUUUUACCUCUUACUCUGGAUCUAAUCCAUGCUCUCGAGUCCUUGAUUGUACCUAUUCCAUACACUCAGAUGAGGGACAAUUGGUCUGUGUCUAAAUCCAUACUCCCGGAUUAAUGACAGAUGACUAUGUCCUGUCCAUACUCCCAGGCUAAGGAC